UCCAGGGGUAAACCUGCGAAACUCGAAUGAACGAACGGGGAGAUUCAUCGUCAUUCCUCGGCGCACUUGCGCAGGUUCGAUGUUCGCGGCCUCGGCCGCGGGCACUGCCCGCGCACGUAGCGCUCCGGGGACGGCGUGCACUUCUCCCUUAGUAAUACAUCGCGACCCGUUGGAUGUCGGUCUAAGUGCCCCCCGGGAGUCUUCUCGCCGCUCGCGGCGGGUAGACCGGCGGGUGCACCGACCGGCCGUCCGACGGUAGAUUUGACGAAACGCUCACGCGCUAGUGCGCGUCCGGCCCGACGCAAGGCACCGUCGUAUCCCCUGUCCUGCCCGAGUGCGGACCGGGGUGCGGCGCGCCUGUAGUCGCAGCCGUGCUGUCUCGGACCGUGUGCGUAUC
rnacentral:rRNA from 1 species